UGCCGGAUGGCGCAAUGGUUACCGCACCUGCCUAGGAAGCAGGAGAUCCCGGGUUCGAAUCCUGGUCUGGUAC